rfam:Actinoplanes sp. SE50/110, complete genome.
GGGACAGGCCGUGACUGGCGCGUUCGGAUGGUUGACCAUCGGGGAGCGGCCUCGUCGAGAUGACGACAUGCCGUGCGCCUGGGCCUCUUCA